CUAGCUACAGAGCGCUCACUGGUGCGGUUUACAAUCCUAGCUACAGAGUGCUGAUUGGUGUGUUUUACAAUCCUCUUGUAAAACAGGAAAGUUCUCCAAGUCCCCACUCGACCCAGGAAGUCCAGCUGGCUUCACCUCUCAUUGAGUUUGCAGGAUGGCAGAACUCGAGGCUGGAUGUUGCCCCUCACUGACCUCCUGUCAGCUCCUGGAAUGCAGCCCUCUCCUCGCUUGAACAACAACUUGCAGUUCUCUUCCUUUGUCCCUUCAGGCUUAUGGGUGUCCUACGAUCUGCCAUUUGUUUGGAAGCUGGAGAACCAAGAAAGCUGGUAGUCUUGCUCCAGUCCAAGCUCAAAGACCUGAAAACAGGGGAGCCAACAGUGUAAACCCCAGUGUGAAGUCCAAAGGCUUGAGAACCAGGAGGGCCAAUGGUGUAAGUUGCGAGUCUGAGUCUGAAGGCUGGAGAACCAGAAGCACCCGUAUCUGAGGUGGGGAGAAGACCGAUGUUCCAUUUCAAGUACCUUUUGUGGUUUCCCUACAUCCUGUUCACAAUUCUGUGAGGAGCCCCUUGAUAUAAACUGCGCUUGAAUCAUCCCAGUUGACGUGUGUGUCAACUGUUUCCUGCUGGGACUCUUGAUAUUCCAACUUCCUGAACAUGUAAGGAAAAGCCCUAACAAUGACCUAUAAAACCCCACAAGAUCAGGAUCUGCAUCUCCGAUUACCCUCUAAUCCCUGAAUCCCUAUUUUACCUGAGUCAUACUGGCCUCUGUGCUGUGGGUCUUUGCAUGCCAACAGUCCUCUUGCCACAAGUUCCUACUCAAUAGUCUCUCCUCAAAUGCACCUUAACUGGGGGCCUUUUCCUUCCUAUGCUACAUAAAAUGGAAAGUCCCCAGCCCUCCGUAACUCUCUCACAAUGCUUUAUUUUUCUGCACAACAUGAAUAUUGUUGAUUUUUCUUUUUCGAUGGAGUCUUGCUCUGUUGCCCAGGCUGGAGUGCAGUGGCGCGAUCUCGGCUCAUUGCAACCUCCACCUCCCAGGAUGAAGCGAUUCUCCUGCCUCAGCCUCCUGAUUAGCUGAGCGCACCACCACACCCAGCUAAUUUUUUUGUAUUUUUAGUAGAGAUGGCGUUUCACCAUGUUGGUCAGGCCGGUCUCAAACUCCUGACCUCAUGAUCUGCCCCAGCCUCCCAAAGUAUUGGAAUUACAGGCGUGAGUCACAGCGCCCGGCCAUGUUGUUGAUUUUUCUAUAAUUCACCCCUCCCCGUUAGGAUGUAAGUGCCUCAAUGGCAAAACUUGAGUUUCAUUCACUGCUCUAGACAUGGCAUCUCAAACAGUGCUUAGCCACAUGGAAUGUACUCAAUGAACAGGCUAGUGGUUAUGAGAAUCACCUGUCUGGAUUCCAAUCUGUGCUCUACCACUUACUAGCUGGUGAACUCAGGCAAGCAACCUAGACAUUUCCAUGCCAGUUUUCCCAUCUGUAAGUUGGAGACAGUAAUAGCACAGUUUGCAAGCUUAUAGUGAGGACGCAGUUAAUAUUUAUAAGGCACUUUGAAGAGCGCCUGGUCUAUAGGAUGGGCUAGCGAAAUGUUUGAUCUCUUUUUGUUAAUAUAUUUUCAUAUUACAAUUAUUUGGUAUGAAAAGGUAUGGCCCCUACUGAAAAUAAAUAAAUUCACAGGAGAAUAUCUAAACCUCUACGCACCUAGUUACAUUACACAUAAACAUAUAUAAAGUAAAAAUGACAGAAUUACAGAAAGAAUUUGUUAAUCUACCAUGCUAGUGGAAGACUUUAAUAUACCUCUAUCACUAAGUCAGGUCG
rnacentral:lncRNA from 10 species